rnacentral:tRNA from 1 species
GAUCUUGUAGUAUAUCUAAUAAAUACGGUAAACUGCAACUUUACCAAUGCUAAGCCAAGAUCUC